rnacentral:lncRNA from 1 species
UGCUUCGGCUCUCGGCCGCUUCGCCUCCUUCCGCAGCCCCCGAGCGCACAAAGAGAGAAAGAGAAAGAAAAAGCGGAGCCCUGCGCCCGGCAAACUCCAAACCGCAAGUUCUCACUACAGAAACAACAACAACAACAACCAAUUCUGGAGGCUUUAAUAAAACCUAAUUAGAGAGCGAGAGAGGGAGAGAGCCACGUACAGAAAAACAAAGGGAAUCCCCGGUUCCUAAUUGUGAAAGUGAGUUUCAGCCCUGCAGGAUGGCGGAUGGCAGGCUCUCGAGAAAGACCGGGAGGCUGGAUGCUUCUGCUACCCCUCUGCCGAGGCGCUUAAACGCUGCAGCCCCAGGAGCCGGAAAAAAAAAGAGCUCGGCUUUUGGAGACGGAGCAUCGCAUCCCGAGAACUUCCCGGGAGCCAGGUCGCGGCUCCAUCCCGGCGCGACGCGGGCAGGUGCCGUGGCGCUCCCGGCAGCCGGGGGGGGGGCCUCAAAUACACGAUUUG